UACGUAGGGUGCAAGCGUUAAUCGUAAUUACUGGGCGUAAAGCGUGCGUAGGCGGUUGUGCAAGACAGAUGUGAAAUCCCCGGGCUUAACCUGGGAACUGCAUUUGUGACUGCAUGGCUAGAGUGUGUCAGAGGGAGGUGGAAUUCCACGUGUAGCAGUGAAAUGCGUAGAUAUGUGGAGGAAUACCGAUGGCGAAGGCAGCCUCCUGGGAUAACACUGACGCUCAUGCACGAAAGCGUGGGGAGCAAACAGG
rnacentral:rRNA from 1 species